rnacentral:rRNA from 1 species
GGCCUUGACAUACUAAGAACUUUCCAGAGAUGGAUUGGUGCCUUCGGGAACUUAGAUACAGGUGCUGCAUGGCUGUCGUCAGCUCGUGUCGUGAGAUGUUGGGUUAAGUCCCGNAACGAGCGCAACCUUUUCCUAUUUGCCAGCGGGUCAUGCCGGGAACUUUAAGGAUACUGCCAGUGACAAACUGGAGGAAGGCGGGGACGACGCCAAGUCAUCAUGGCCCUUACGGCCAGGGCUACACACGUGCUACAAUGGUCGGUACAAAGGGUUGCUACCUCGCGAGAGGAUGCUAAUCUCAAAAAGCCGAUCGUAGUCCGGAUCGCAGUCUGCAACUCGACUGCGUGAAGUCGGAAUCGCUAGUAAUCGCGGAUCAGAAUGCCGCGGUGAAUACGUUCCCGGGCCUUGUACACACCGCCCGUCACACCAUGGGAGUUUGUUGCACCAGAAAUAGGUAGUCUAACCGCAAGGAGGACGCUUACCACGGUGUGGCCGAUGACUGGGGUGAAGUCGUAACAAGGUAAGCGUAGAUGA